rnacentral:pre_miRNA from 1 species
GUAGUCGGAUUCGCAUCAAUCUACAUGUGUUGUGCUGGAUUGAAGUGGAGUUUAAACUAAAUUACACUCUAAUCCAUCCUAACAUAAGUGGAUUGUGGUGGAUCCGAUG